rnacentral:tRNA from 1 species
AAGAUUCUAGUUAAAAUAUAACACUGCCUUGUCAAGGCAAAGUUAUGGGUUAAACCCCCAUGUAUCUUG